GGAGAGAUGGCAGAGUGGUCGAAUGCGGUGGUCUUGAAAACCAUUGUACAGAAAUGUACCGGGGGUUCGAAUCCCUCUCUCUCCGCAA
rnacentral:tRNA from 1 species